CGCAAGAGAAGAAUGCCUUUCAGCAACAUGAGACAAGGACAGUAGGAAAGAAGAACUGAAGACUCUUCAGAUUAAUUUAAAGUCAUAAUAAGCUAUGAAACUAUUUCUAAGCAUAAUUUGCUGUUAAGCACUUACAAGAUACAAAGUGAUGGAUGAAUAGGAGAAUGUAUGUGAACAACCAGAACUAACAGACCCGGGACAGUGCAGCUGGGCUUGAGUUGUAAGGUCAGACAACUUUUCUUUGU
rnacentral:lncRNA from 1 species